rnacentral:rRNA from 1 species
GACGAACCGUCCUAACGUUGUUCGGAAUCACUGGGCUUAAAGGGCGCGUAGGCGGGCUGCCAAGUCCGGGGUGAAAUCUUUCGGCCUUAACCGGAAAAUAGCCUUGGAUACUGGUAGUCUCGAGGGAGGCAGGGGCCGUUGGAACUUCCGGUGGAGCGGUGAAAUGCGUAGAUAUCGGGAGGAACACCAGUGGCGAAGGCGACUCCUGGCCGUGUUCUUGACGCUGAGGCGCGAAAGCUAGGGGAGCAAACGGG